GGGAUAUAAGAAACCGUCUUUUAAUUUAACUAAAAAAACUAGAAACCGGUUCUUAAAUAAGAGUUUUAAGAAUCGAUUCUUAGUUUUUUUGGUUAAAAGUUAAGAGACGGUUUUUUAUAUUCC
rfam:Brassica napus, WGS project CCCW01000000 data, contig: 31635